rnacentral:lncRNA from 1 species
AUGGAACGGAAUGUUUUUUUUUCAAAGCCGCCAUAACGCCAUUAUUUCAAUUCUUCACUUUCUUGUGAUGUUCGAUGCUUUGCUUUGCUAGAAAGAACUUUAAAAUUAUGAUGUUGAACUAUACAACGACUGUGCUUGCCCUGGACUCCGAUAAAUCUGCUUUUUUGUGAAUAUACCGGCUCUGCUCAACGGAUUUUGAUUUGCUCGUUAGAUUCGUUUGUCGUAACAAUGGUUAUAAGUGCUGUGUGUUGUGUACUUAAUUGCGGUAAAACGCGAUUAGAUAAUAUGAUUCUUCACCAAUGACCCAAUCCAAUUAUUGAGCCUGACUGGUUUCUUCUUCUAAUGGCAGUGAUGUGUUAGCAAUGGAAAACUGUGUCAUACUCACUUUAAGAAAAAAUAUAAUACUUCAAGCGGAAGGCUCCGUUUUACCCAUUUCUCUAUUGAGGUCUUGGGGUAUGGAAUUGAUAAGCAAACCACAUUGCUGCAAUUUCCAAUCAAUGUUCAAGAACCAAUGCAAGAUGAUCAAGUACCCAGAGCCCCUUUGAGGAACAUCACCAAUCAGUACCCACAGGGCGGCUACUAAUCUCAGAUCUCAGCCGUCAGCUUCAGGAAUUGAUAAGCAAGCAAACCGCAUCGCUGCAAUUUGCUAGCAAUAUUCAAGAACCGAUGCAAGAUGAUCAAAUACCCAGAGCCCCUUUGAGGAACAUCACUGAUGUCAGUUCUCAGCCGUCAACUUCAGGUCACGCGCCACGACACACACCCCGAUUUUUCACGGAAGCUAGCAGUUUGGCCAAACAAAUAAAAAACCUUACUGAGACAAAAGAAAAAUAUUCUUUCGUUUAUUGCUCGUGUUGGUGUGGUGAAAAUUGUCGGUAGGAAACACUGCGCUUGAAAUAAUUAAGACGCAUUAGGAGAAGUAAUUCUCUAAACGCUUUCGACUAGUUCUUUCCUGGUUUUUGAAGCUAAGUAGUAUCACCACCAAUUACGUAACUAUAAAACAUAUUUUAAAAUAAAUUAUUAAAAACUAUUCCCCUG